rnacentral:rRNA from 1 species
UGGGGAAUAUUGCACAAUGGGCGCAAGCCUGAUGCAGCCAUGCCGCGUGUAUGAAGAAGGCCUUCGGGUUGUAAAGUACUUUCAGUCGGGAGGAAGGUGGUAAGGUUAAUAACCUUAUAAAUUGACGUUACCGACAGAAGAAGCACCGGCUAACUCCGUGCCAGCAGCCGCGGUAAUACGGAGGGUGCAAGCGUUAAUCGGAAUUACUGGGCGUAAAGCGCACGCAGGCGGUUGAUUGAGUCAGAUGUGAAAUCCCCGGGCUUAACCCGGGAAUUGCAUCUGAUACUGGUCAGCUAGAGUCUUGUAGAGGGGGGUAGAAUUCCAUGUGUAGCGGUGAAAUGCGUAGAGAUGUGGAGGAAUACCGGUGGCGAAGGCGGCCCCCUGGACAAAGACUGACGCUCAGGUGCGAAAGCGUGGGGAGCAAACAGG